AGGGACUGUUCUUACCUGGGACUUUGAAAAGCAUUCAGCCAAUCGGGUCCACAGGCAGCAGAACCCGUUCCCAAUUGGCUCCUCCCCAGACAGGAAGUCCCGCCCUCCCCCGGAAACGAUGGAGGCUGGACUCGGAGGAAGGCCGGAGCGGGUUUGAGAAUACAAAAAUCAACAAAAUUGGAACUGUGUCUCAUCAUAGCUUACAGCUUCAUUGAUUCAGUAUCUGCUACUGUUAUCUCUUCAGCAACUUAG
rnacentral:lncRNA from 1 species